CACGUAGGGCGCGAGCGUUGUCCGGAAUUAUUGGGCGUAAAGAGCUCGUAGGCGGCCUGUUGCGUCCGCUGUGAAAUCCCGGGGCUCAACCCCGGGCCUGCAGUGGAUACGGGCUGGCUAGAGGCAGGCAGGGGAGAACGGAAUUCCUGGUGUAGCGGUGAAAUGCGCAGAUAUCAGGAGGAACACCGGUGGCGAAGGCGGUUCUCUGGGCCUGUACUGACGCUGAGGAGCGAAAGCGUGGGGAGCGAACAGG
rnacentral:rRNA from 1 species